UUCCUGCAUUUGUGUUUUCUUUAGAGUCUAUAUUUCAGUUUUCUUGUGUUGAACUGUUUGAAUCAUUUCCACCAUAUUUUUAUUUCGUUAAGAGAUUUGCUGCUUUCUUGUAUUUUUGGUUUGAAUUGUUUUCAUGAAGCUAUUUUUCAGGUCAUUCUCUUCUGCUUCAUUUUCAUUGGGGUGCUCAGGCCUUGCUGAUGAUCCAUCCUCCUUAUAGUGAUAAUAGUCAAACAAAUCUAAUGACUUUUUAUCUCUUACAAACUUCUACUGUCUUUUAUGCUAUUAGUGUAUCUGUGGUAGAAGUUACUUGAAUACUGCAUUAUAUUGCAGUUGUUAAGAUAAUGUGAGAUCAUGUAGAGACAUUCUGUAACAUUUCUGCUUUCCUCUCUCAUUAGAAAUCUCAUUGUCUGGACAAGCAAUGCAACCAUAGCAGAAAACAGCCUUGCCCUCCAGGGACACAAGGGUUCUCCAAGUUCCUCAGAGAAAGGAAGAAUGAAGUGCUCAAGGGGAUCAUAGGGGAGUGCAACCUGAGGAACUUUUCCCCAGAGUGUAUGAUGAUCAAUUUGUGCCUAAGGAAUCUGACAUAUUCACCCACAAAGGAAACAAGGUGAAAUGUUUCCUGGUUUGUCAACUUUGCAGAAAGAUUUUGUUGAUAUAUACAAGCUGUAGAGUAAAAAUGAAGAGAAAAUGGGAAGUUUAAAGGUGGAAUUAGAAGAAAACAUCAAGAAUGAGAGAAUUAGGAAGAAAACAUAAAGAGAGUUAUAAGCAAAACAGCAAGAGAGACAGGAAGCACAUUUCUGAUAGAGAUAAUUAAAGCAAUAAGCAACUGCACCAGAAGACGAAGAAACAAAAAUCAUAAGGUAAAUAUUAAGACAUAGUAUGAAAGUACCUUUUCCCUUAUGCGUGUGGAUAAAAAAGUCUCAUGCUUUUAAUUCCUUCAUUCUGGAGGCAGAAGCAGGCAGAUCUCUGUGAUUUCAAAGCCAGCCUGGUCUAGAGAGUGAGCUCCAGGAC